CUAAAAACACUUGGGAAAGUUUUUUUUUUAGCUCAGAGAAAAAACUGGAGGAAGAAAGAGGGUUUUAUGUUUAGAUCAAAAGGUAGAAAUCCAUGAUGUAUCUCCAUCUACUGACAAAGAGACAUUAUUAGUGAACUACAUUGUUACUGGAAGCAAUGGAACUGAUCAUAACAUUGACAUACCAUCAAAAGGGGGAGUUUUUGAUGAUGAUGAAAUCUACAAUUUCUACAAAGAAUACGCUAAAAACUAGGGUUUCCUGUACACAGAAGAGCGAAAAAAGAGAAAUGAUGAUGGAUGUGUCUUUUGGUUGUGCAAGAGGUAAACAUCAAAGAAAAGCUGUAAACCCAAGAGGGAAUAUGGAAACUGGAUGUGGGGCUUAUAUUGCAUGUCGAAGGCGACAAGGGGAUGGGAAAUGGGUUAUGUCAGUAGUUAAGUUGGAGCAUAAUCAUAAGUGUAAUCUGGAGGAUGUGAAAUCCUAUAAGUGUUUUGAACCAGUUUGUAGUGGUGCGCGGCGGAUUGAUCUUAAUGGUGGGGGUGACUGCGUAAAAGAAGAAGGCGAAAAUAGCGGUUCAAAAUGAGGGUGUAGGAUGUGCCGAAAUGGUUGAUGAGCAAAAUGCAAUUGGUGAAGGAAGACGUCUACGGAUUGGCAAGGGAGAAGGGCUUUUGAAAUUUUUUGCGAAGAUGAAUGGUGAAAACUCGGGAUUGGCAAGCUGAAUUUUUUGCAAGACAACCAAUGGUUGAAGGAUUUGUUUGAAGAAAGGAGUCGCCGGGUACCACGUUAUCUGAAAGACACAUUUUGGGCAGGAAUGUCAUCAAAGACUCAAAGAAGUGAAGGAAGUAACGUGUUUUUCGACGGGUAUUUAGAUGCAAGGUCUUCGAUUAAACAGUUGGUGGAGCAAUACGAAGUUGCGUUAAGGAAGGAUGUGGAAAAGGAAAAGUUAGCGGAUGAUGCGUCGUCUCUAAAAACUAUUCCCUUGGUAAAUACUUACCCUAUGGAGAAACAGAUACAAAAAAGGUAUACUAACUCCAAAUUUAAAGAAUUUCAAGUUGAGUUAUUAGCAAUGUUGUAUUGUAACUUCUCCAAGAUUGAAAAACACCCACAAGUACGAUCUACAUCAUCCAAGAAGACGUGUAUAUCGAGGAUUUUCGUAAAAAGAUGACUUUUCAUGUGACAUAUAAUGCAGAAGAAUGUGAUGUUCUUGUCAGAAGUUUACAGUUGACGGAAUUCAAUGCAGGCAUGCUCUAAGUGUUUUGUGUCAUAACGGUGUGAGAUAAAUACAUCUUGAGAUGGUGGCGGAAAGACGUGAUAAGAGCUCAUACAAACGUUAAAGUGGGUUAUAGUUGCUGGACUAAUCAUGAGGCGACCAAGCGUUGCCAUGAUUUGUGUACUAAAUUUGCUGAGCUUGCUACUUUGGCAGCAAAUGAUGAGACUCUUUAUCGCGAUAUCCUCAACUGGUUGGACUGUAAAAAAAAGAACUGCAACAGACAGUAUGAAAGCUAAGCAAAGCAAAAAAACUCAAUGGAAAACUACUUGGAAGAAAAUGUAGAGGAGAUAAAGAUGGUGAAAGUGAAGAAGGUGGUAAAAUGUAGCUGCGUUGUUCUCUUCAAUUCAAAAUAUGAUGAAAAGGUAGGCAAACGGUAUCAAAUGUAGAAAUGUAAAGUGGUGGUGGGAUCAAGAAACCUCCUCCUUUGUUGCAGACCACGGUAAUGGUGCCUGUGUUGGUGCUAGCAAGUCAAUUUGGUGGACACAUGGAGCCCCUAAUCCUUGGGAUUGAUGGAUGAACCUCUUGGAGCUAAAUUCGUGAUCCAAGGGUGGAUAGGGCAUGUACGCCCACUGCUAUGUUAUAUUGUUAGCACCACCCCCUAGUUUAUUAGCAUUUUACUUAUGAAUUGGGCAUGAUUUAAUCCAUUACAACUCACAGCAGAUAUAGAGAAGUUAUUGUACUGGGAACAGAUAGAUUUGUUAGAGUUGUUCGUUUCUGUAUUAAAAGUAUUAGAGAAGUUCCUCUUGGUCAUAUGUUUGACUAAAUUUAUUUAUUGGGAUACCUCUACGAAGGAUAGCUUACCGUUAGUUUUAAAUAUAUGCAUUGUUUCUUUUGAUCUAGUGUUAUUAACAUCAAUGGCACUUAAAACGAAAUGCUUGACCUAGCGUUCGAUAAGAGAGUGAUGUUUGUACUUCCCAUGUCCUGAAUAUAAUGUUUGAUGAAGGCACUUUAACAAAGACUCUAAUUAUUUAUACUUCUUCUGAUGAAGUUUAUAAUAUGGCUUAUCUCAUUUCUACUGCUCAAUGUUGAAAAACUAAAAGAAAGUUAUGAUAAUUUGUACGGCGGAGUGCCAGUAUGUUUGUCUUGUGAGUCUGUGACUUAUUAUGCAAACUUUAUUUCCUUCUUUUUUUUUUUUACUGGAGGGGAAGUUUCAGUUUGACUGGUUAUAGCUGUUUUUGCAAUGUGAGAUCAAAACCCCAUUAAUGCUUCACAGAAUGUGAAACUACAUUUUGAUGUCGGUCAUGCAUUUUUAGAAAUGACUGCUAGAUUUUUAUCAGAUAGAGGUGCUUAAAGAAUGCAUAAAAUCUAUACUUACUUUAAUGGCAGUCAACUAAAGCGUUACAUGGCCGCUUCCAGGCUAGUAAAUCCUACACCUGCUUCUGCUUAUGCUCUUAGCCGUGUGGUCGGGUGGAGGUAAGAUUGUUAAUGGACCUGUUAUUGUUUGUGAUAGUAGUGGAAAGUCUCGAGCAAAUUUUUAUUUAAAAUCUGGCAGGAUUCCACUGUGAUCCAUUCAGACGGAUAAACUUUCGCUUGAAAAGUACCUAAAGAUCAUGUUUCCAGAUCACAAAACAGACAUUUUCUCGGUUAUAAUUGUGAUUCUUUUUUUGGACUGAAUACAUGAGUUUUCUCGCUGACAAAUAGUGAAUUGCAAACUGUUGUUGGGAUGUUUGUAAAGUGAUCUGGUUCUCCUGUGUCAAUGUAACUGAUUACUUCUGCAUAUCAUGUCAUCAGUUUCCUAGUCCUUGUUAGUGGCUCAUACCCUUAACCAACUUACAUUGUACUGCCACUAGUUUCUUUCUCUAAGUCAACGUUGUUGAGCGUUAUAAGUAACUUAGUGGUAUUUGAAUUCUGUGCCUUUACUGUACAUUUUUUUGUCCAUGAGCGAAAUUAUGCAGGUCUGUAUUCCAGAGAUUAGAUACUUCCAUUUGAAAUGAAUGAGAGAAUGCAAUUUAGUCUUCCGUCCUGCCUUUCUUAAGCUUAUUUCCCAUUUAGGAAAUGGAGGGAUCUGGGUACAUUUUUAGUUUUUCCUUGGAAAUAUCAAACUGCACUGCAGAUUUUCAAACUUAAUGAUGACUACAUUCGACCAGAGAUUAAAAGCCUCUUGAACAAGACACACUACUUGAGUAACGAUCGAUGUUAGCUGUGGGCAGUGUAUUCUCGGAUCGUACAAGUGCUUUGUUGACAGUACAGACUGUUGUUUCGGAACUGGCUUCCUUGCAUUUAGGGGCUGAAAGAUUUGAAGCUGCAUCCUCCACAGUUUUGAUGAAUAUAGAGAAGCUUCAGAACAUGGCUGGUGCAAUGUGCAUUGGUGGAAAAGGAAGCGUUAGAAGUUCAAGUCUUGCAAGGAAGUUGUUUCUUAUUUGCUCUCUCUUUCAGAACCUCAAGAUGUUUAGCAUCCAAACAAUGUUAAUAGUUCUGAGGACAUGGAUGGGGUGCAUAACUUAGCUUCUGGAAGUGAAAGCCAAGUUGUUUGAGUAGAGUUAGUUUAAAUCCAAUUAAGCAUAUCUUUAUCUCUUUGAGAUGUAUGUGAUUUACAACUCUCUUGGGAGCAGCGAGAGAAAAGAAGAAAAUCUGCUGGCUUUCAUGGGCUAAGAUUUGCAGACCCAAGGAAAGCGGUGGUUUGGAAAUAAGAAAUCUCAGGCUAACCAAUCAAGCUCUAUUAGCAAAAUGGUGAUGGCUAUAAUGAGGAGAAGAUGGCUCUCUGGAGAAGGGUGGUGCUAACUCAACAGGCUGAUGAGAUAUCUUGCAAAUUUGCUAAACAAGAACUUAAAAUUUGAACUAAAGAUCUUUAUGCAUGGCUCUGCAGUCAGCAAUUGUGUUCUAACCAAUCUCUUCAGAGGAGGGUGUGCCAAUCACUUCUGCUAGAUGCUCUCUCUGUGAUAAAGAUGAAGAAUCUGUCAGCCAUAUAUUCCUGCAUUGCACUUAUACUUCAAGAUCUGGAACUACUUGAUGGAUCGUUGUAAGCUGGACUGAGUAAUAGGUGCUGAUUUGCCGUAGGAGCUUGGAAGCACAAGAGAGGGAAAAAUAAAGGUACGAAAAUCUGGCCAUCACUAAUUUUUGCUGUCAUUUGGGUAGAAAGAACAGAAGAGUAAUGACUAGAAAGAAGGGCAGGAAGGAGCAUGACAUUACCAAUGAAGGGAAAAGCUCUAUUUUUCUUUGGAGUGCUACUCAAAAUCUUUUUAGAACAGUGUUGUUUAGUUAACUAAUUUCACACUGGGAUACUCUUCUUGAAAUUGAGAUCAAGUCAGGAUUGUUGGGUUUGCCCAAUGGAAGUGGCUUUCUUGUAAUUCAAAGCAUGUUGUAUUGAUUCUUUUGGAACGAUUUUUUUGGGACCAGCCUUUUUUUCGGGGGACCAUUGUUUUAUUUUG